GAUGAACGCUGGCGGCGUGCUUAACACAUGCAAGUCGAACGGAAAGGCCAGUGCUUGCACUGGUACUCGAGCGGCGAACGGGUGAGUAACACGUGGGUGAUCUGCCCUGCACUUCGGGAUAAGCCUGGGAAACUGGGUCUAAUACCGGAUAGGACAAUGGUUUGGAUGCCGUUGUGGAAAGUUUUUUCGGUGUGGGAUGAGCUCGCGGCCUAUCAGCUUGUUGGUGGGGUAAUGGCCUACCAAGGCGUCGACGGGUAGCCGGCCUGAGAGGGUGUACGGCCACAUUGGGACUGAGAUACGGCCCAGACUCCUACGGGAGGCAGCAGUGGGGAAUAUUGCACAAUGGGCGCAAGCCUGAUGCAGCGACGCCGCGUGGGGGAUGACGGCCUUCGGGUUGUAAACUCCUGUCGCUAGGGACGAAGCGUAUUUGUGACGGUACCUGGAGAAGAAGCACCGGCUAACUACGUG
rnacentral:rRNA from 1 species